rnacentral:lncRNA from 1 species
CCCUGUACAAACGGGUUGCAGUACUCCAAAGGAGUUGCUUCAUUGACCGUUCUUGUUUAGGAAUAUUAUUCAUUUCUCGACAAAGAACUACUACAGUGAUGUAAACUGGGGUUGCCUGAAGUCACAAAGUACAUCGAUUAAUAAAUAAUAUUACUAACAAGGUUUUAAGCAAUAGAGGUCGAUUUACACGUAACUGCACAGACCCUCAUUACUGCCACUGUCAGAGGCUAUCAAUAAUAGCUUGACAAUUGAUUCCCCGUACAAACGGGUUGCAGUACUCCAAAGGAGUUGCUUCAUUGACCGUUCUUGUUUAGGAAUAUUAUUCAAUAACAAUUGUCAUAAUCUAUUCACCCAAUCAACACUUACAAAAAAGAAUCAGAACAUUACAUUAAGAAAAAUGAAAUAGCUACUACAGCAUAAUAUCAUGCACUAGCUCAAAAGAAAAUCGCCUCAUUAACAAGUUAUAACAAUUUGUUCUCUUGUUAAAUUUAUUCGAUCACAAUUGUCAUAAUAUAUUCACCUACUACAAGUUUCAAUCGGUACAAUCAGAGUCUAGAAAUCACAAAGCACAGAUACAACCACCUUCACCAUCUCAUCAUACUCGCAAUUUAAUAAUGAUUUAUCCUCCAAUCUAACAUCAUAAUGUCUAUCACUAUUACAAACAUAUAUAUUCAUCAAACUAACACUAAUGUUAAAAAGAAUUUCAAAAUUUCUACAGAACAUGACAGUUCUCAGUUUCAAUAUACAAAACAAAUCGAAACAUAUAUUUAUUAAACAAAAAACGAACUUACAAAUCUUAAUUCAGAUUAAAAUCAUGUUGUAACUAAUAAAAUGGAGGAUACAGAUUAUUCAAUCUUUAAGAUUAAGACAUCUAAUAAAAAAGGAGAUCCAAAUUUAAGAUUAAGACCUUAUAAAACUAAUCAAAAAGGAGAUCCAAAUUAUCAUUAUAUGAGAACUUCUUAAAGAAGAUCUAAAGAUUUUAAUCUAAGAAGCUGUGAUUAAAGAGACUGAUCAAGAUCUAUACAAAAGAAACAAAUUUAAGAUUAAGACCUUUUAAAACUAAUCAAAAAGGAGAGAUCCAAAUUAUCAUUAUAUGAGAACUUCUUAAUGAAGAUCUAAAGAUUUUAAUCUAAUUAAAGAAGCUGUGAUUAAAGAGACUGAUCAAGAUCUAUACAAAAAAAACACGCACAACAAUCAAAAGAAUAAGAAGAAAGAAACUUCGAAUUACCUUGAGAAAUCGACAGAAAGCGGCGACGAUUGAAGAAAAAAGAAAAUUUGAAGAAACGAAGAAGAUAGAUUUCUAGGGUUUUGAAAAAGAGAUGGUUUUCUAGUGAGAUAAUCAAUCGGUGUUCAAGAUAGUUUUGGCCGCCAUUCAAGAUCGAUGGAGGGGUGAAGACGACGAGUGAAUUUCAAUCGGUGUUUUGCGCUGCAGUUUUGGCCGCCAUUGUUGUCGAGAGAGAGAGAAAGAUUAGGUUUGGAAAGUUAUUUGUUGGUUUUUAUACUUGGCAAAUGAAUUUCUUUGCCUGAGGCAAAGAAAUAUUUUCCCAGGGGGGGGUCAGG